UCAAAAGUAUAAAACUAUCACCUAUCCAUUCUAAAGAAGGGUCAUACCAGACUUGACAUAUUAACUCUAUUUCUCUCUCCAGAGAUGCUGUCAGACCUGCUGAGUUUCUCCAGUAUUCUGUGGCUUUUCUUUUUACUUAAACUUGUGAUCCUGCCAGGUUUUCCAGUGUGCAUGACGUAAAUGAACUUGAGUGGAAACUGAAAGAAAAGGAUGAGACCACCGUGCCAUGACAUAGAAUAUGGGCCGAAAGCCAAAGACUGACACGCUGGGCCUGCCAAUUCUGGACGAGACUGCUGUGAUGGGCCACUGGAAGCUGAAGAUGAAGAAGACCUGUACAUGAGGACCAGACUGCUGCACUUUUAAACUAAUUAGAUUUGGUGAUGCCACUGGAUGGUUCCAUUCCAAUCUAGGA